GGUGGCGUGCCCGAGUGGUCCAAGGGGACGGAUUGCAAAUCCGUUUGUCAUGGGUUCGAAUCCCAUCGCCACCU
rnacentral:tRNA from 1 species